AAAGAAAAAUAAGUUUUUCUUUAGUACAUGGGUGGAGAGGGGAUACACACAACAACCUCAUUUUCAUAUUUUUUCUGAGCUCCGGCACUUUGUCGGCUUGAAUAAUCGAUGGUCCCGCCGUUUCGUUAGACUAUUGGAACUCCUUUUUUAUUUAUUUUUUGGAAAUAUAUUUUUGUACUACACUGUGCAGUGGAGGACUGUACUGCAGUCAAGUCAGGAAAUGAUUUCAAACACCUGCUACCGCUGGCAAACUCUUACGCCAUAUCUUACUUCUUUAGCUUCUUUUUGAGUGGAAAACAAAUAACAAUAAAAAGAAAAAGAAUAAAGGGAAUCUGCACCGUUGCUGGAACACUUUGGCACGUCAUGUCGGUCGGCUGCCUAUGUGGAACAGCCCAGCGCCAGCCCAGCAAGAAAGAAGAAACACAUUGGCGGCCGUGAUGUAAAACAACUCGAGGAAAGACACAAAAUGAGAGGAGAUUAGUUUGACUGUUUGGAAAUUGAAUGUGUCGGACGGAAAUAAAUUAUUGGGCCGUAUAAUACUGUUAGAAAAUGCUCCGCGCAAUGGCGGAACCGCAGAAAAGUAAUCAUCUUUUUUUCUCUAGUAGCUAAUAAGAGAGAGAGAAAAGUUAAUCCGGGCGCCAGUUUUAAGCGGGCAUCGAUGUCACUGGAACUUUCUACACACGUACUCAUCUCGUCUUUUUUGUGACUUUUUUAAAACUGUAGCGACAACAAUGGUCCAGCACGGAACAUUAUAUUCCCUACUUUACUGUCGCCCAUUUAGUUGGGGUAGUAAAAAACCAAAAUUGAAACUUUUUCUUCUUCUUUUAAAUUUUUCUGGUGAAAUCUGAUGUUGUGAAUAUUUCGUGAAUUUCUGCCGAAAUCUUAGACGUGUGUGACCGUUUGUCCGGCGUGUGUUGUACGGCUUCUUCACGGUUCCACAAGCUGAGAAAGGGAAAAACAAUUUAACACAAGUCGAGAUGAGAUCACACCCACUAUCGCCUAGCAUCUUCUUUUUCUCUCCGACCCUGAAGAACAAGUCAAAUCGAAUAAAAUAAAA